rnacentral:rRNA from 1 species
CGUUCCCGGGCCUUGUACACACCGCCCGUCACACCAUGGAAGCCGGUAACACCCGAAGCCGGUGGCCUAACCCGCGAGGGAGGGAGCCGUCGAAGGUGGGAUUGGUGACUGGGGUG